UAACGCGUAGGUAACCUGCCUUGUAGGCGGGGGAUAACUAUUGGAAACGAUAGCUAAUACCGCAUAACAAUGGGUGACUCAUGUCUAUUUAUUUGAAAAGGGGCAAAAUGCUCCACUACAAGAUGGACCUGCGUUGUAUUAGCUAGUAGGUGAGGUAACGGCUCACCUAGGCGACGAUACAUAGCCGACCUGAGAGGGUGAUCGGCCACACUGGGACUGAGACACGGCCCAG
rnacentral:rRNA from 1 species